CCUACGGGAGGCAGCAGUAGGGAAUCUUCCACAAUGGACGAAAGUCUGAUGGAGCAACGCCGCGUGAGUGAUGAAGGUUUUCGGAUCGUAAAACUCUGUUGUAAGGGAAGAACAAGUACGAGAGGUAAUGCUCGUACCUUGACGGUACCUUGCGAGAAAGCCACGGCUAACUACGUGCCAGCAGCCGCGGUAAUACGUAGGUGGCAAGCGUUGUCCGGAAUUAUUGGGCGUAAAGCGCGCGCAGGCGGCCUUUUAAGUCUGAUGUGAAAGCCCCCGGCUCAACCGGGGAGGGUCAUUGGAAACUGGAAGGCUUGAGUACAGAAGAGAAGAGUGGAAUUCCAUGUGUAGCGGUGAAAUGCGUAGAGAUGUGGAGGAACACCAGUGGCGAAGGCGACUCUUUGGUCUGUAACUGACGCUGAGGCGCGAAAGCGUGGGGAGCAAACAGGGAUUAGAUACCCGUGGUAGUCCACGCCGUAAACGAUGAGUGCUAGGUGUUGGGGGUUUCCGCCCUCAGUGCUGAGCUACGCAUAGCNCNCGCGNGGNGCGCGNGAGNGNGAGUAGAAGAGUGNGNGNGNGNGNGCGAGCGACGAGAGGAG
rnacentral:rRNA from 1 species